AUACUUACCUGGCAGGGGAGAUACCAUGAUCAUGAAGGUGGUUUUCCCAGGGCGAGGCGUAUCCAUUGCACUCCGGAUGUGCUGACCCCUGCGAUUUCCCCAAAUGUGGGAAACUCGACUGCAUAAUUUGUGGUAGUGGGGGACUGUGUUCGCGCUCUCCCCUU
rnacentral:snRNA from 1 species